AACCGCCCGGUGCGGACCCGCAUGCCGGGUGGUGUGGGAGGGGCGCGAUCAUCGAUCGCCCCCUAUCCCGAU
rnacentral:ncRNA from 3 species